GGGACAUCUCAAAUAGCUGAACCAGGCCUUCACACUGUUAUGAUCAUUGCUGAUAAUCUUUUGUGCGUUAACAUGAAUUUAGAACUGAAGUGGAAGCAGGAUGAGAUCUCCAGCUCCUGAAAGAUCUAAGGAUUUCUCAGAGCUCAGAGACCAAUAGAAAUGUUUGGGUCUCUGCUUCCAGCUUAGACUUCAAAGGCAGAUGCAAAACAGUGGCCCCAGGAAAAUCCUGUUGCAAUACAUCCUAAUUCUAAAUGCUCAGGGCAGGCCCCUUUACCAUUUGUUGACCACGAAUGGAGUGAAUGAAUGAAUCUGUUUUAUCUUAAAUCUCAGAGAGUAAUAUGUUCUCAUAAAUAAAAUUCUCAUAACUUCAAAAUUUCAUAAUGCUUAAUACCUCUCCUUGAAAAGUAUUUAGAUAGUUAUCAACAAGAUUUUGGCUUAAAAGAUGUAUUGGGACCUUUAGCUAAUGUUCC
rnacentral:lncRNA from 1 species